AUGGGCACGGGGGCUGGCAGAGGUGGGGGCAAGCCAGGCUUCCCACUGGUCACCCCUGGGGGCACUGGGGUCUCUCGGCAGCCCCGUCCAUGUCCCCCGGCCCGUGCCUCACUGGCAGCUCCCACGUCCCCAGGGAAUUUGGAGGGCAGCGGCACGUCAGGGUUGCGGACAAUGACAGGUGAGUCCCGCUGCACGGCAGGCACCCUGCGCACAGAGGGCCCAGGAUCCGAGGUCAGGCCGGCAGGUGGGGGCAAAAGCAGCAAUGGUGAGGGCUGGCGGGAGCGGGAGAAGGGCACGGCGGGUGACACAGCACGGAAGCCAGCCGGCGUGGAGGGUGUAGGUGUGUGGGACACCGAAUCCACACCAGAGUCUAGGCUGUCACUCUUGGGGAAGUCUGGGGCAGCUCCUCCGCCCGCUGCACCAGGGGCCCCCAACGCCCCUGGGUGGGGCAGCAGCUCUGCCUUCCUUCGCCCCGGGCUGAUGGGCACAGUGAAGGUCAGGUUGGUCUGGAAGGUGGGUAGGAUGCCGGAGGAAUGGCGCUCUCGCGGGGCAGGCGGCGGCGGGUGGGGGCCCAGGUCUGAAGGCGUCAGCACACCUGCCUUAGGGGUACUGGCGCUCAGGUGGCGACUGCGAACAGCAGUUCGUUGGAUGACAGGUGAGGCGUUGAUGGGGCUGAAGUUGGCGGGGCGGAAGCCGAAGAGUGGUGAGGGUGAGGGUGACGGAGCAGGCGAGAAGGGGGACUGCGUAGAGACGGGUGAGAAGGAGGGCGUGCCUGAGCGAGAGCUGCCCAGUGACACCAGCAUCACAGCUGCUUCACACUCAUCAAAUUCAAAGCGUGACAAGUCGGCAGGGGCCACCAGGCGUGGACGUGAGUCUCCGCGGGCCGCCACGCUGCUGGCCUCGCUAUCCCGCGAUGUCUCAUCACCCCAGUCGAACUCGGUGCUGCCCUCACGGGCCGCCACGCCAGCCGGCCGCCCAGCGCCUCCCGGGCCACUGUCCGCCAGGCCCUCCAUCUCCUUGGUUCGCAUGGACAGGUGGCGCGAGCAGUAG
rnacentral:lncRNA from 1 species